CUCUCUCACCCAUCCCCUCGGUGUGAGUGGGUCUCUCUCUCUCCCAUCCCCUCGGUGUGAGUGGGUCUCUCUCUCUCCCAUCCCCUCGGUGUGAGUGGGUCUCUCUCUCUCCCAUCCCCUUGGUGUGAGUGGGUCUCUCUCUCCCAUCCCCUCGGUGUGAGUGUGUGUCGUGCUCUCUCUCCCAUCCCCUCGGUGUGUGUGUGUCGCGCUCUCUCUCCAAUCCCCUCAUUGUGAGUGUGUCGUGCUCUCCCUCCCAUCCCCUCAUUGUGAGUGUGUGUCAUGCUCUCCCUCCCCUCAUUGUGAGUGUGUGUCGUGCUCUCCCUCCCCUCAUUGUGAGUGUGUGUCGUGCUCUCCCUCCUAUCCCCUCAUUGUGAAUGUGUGUCGUGCUCUCCUUCCU